rnacentral:rRNA from 1 species
CACGGGGGCAACCCUGGUGGCGAGUGGCGAACGGGUGAGGAACACAUCGGAACGUGUCCUGUUGUGGGGGAUAACUAGUCGAAAGAUUAGCUAAUACCGCAUGACCUCGAGAGAGAAAAGCAGGGGACUCGCAAGGGCCUUGCGCGAUUGGAGCGGCCGAUGUCCGAUUAGCUAGUUGGUGGGGUAAAGGCCUACCAAGGCGACGAUCGGUAGCUGGUCUGAGAGGAUGAUCAGCCACACUGGGACUGAGACACGGCCCAGACUCCUACGGGAGGCAGCAGUGGGGAAUAUUGGACAAUGGGGGCAACCCUGAUCCAGCCAUGCCGCGUGAGUGAAGAAGGCCUUAGGG